GCGGCAUAGCUCGGUUGGUAGAGUGGCCGUGCCAGCAACUUGAGAGUUCCAGGUUUGAGCCCCGCUUCUGCCGUCGUGUCCUUGGGCAAGACACUUCAACCAGCCACCCACACUGGUUUAAAUGUAACUUAGAUAUUGAGUUUCACAAUGUAAAAGUGCUUUGAGUCACUAGAAAAAAGUGCUAUAUAAAUGUAUUUCAAUUCAUUUCAUUUAACCUCUCUUGAUUUUGACAGAGCUGUAGUAACCGCCAGUCGCCACAGGUGUCGCCACUAACCACAGACUUCCCCACAGCCUGCUUGCAGAGUUGAUGUUGUAACACUCAUUCUUCUCACACAGCUGGGAGGAACUGACUUUAUUUUUUCCCCUCCUUGAUUCUUUCACUGCUUCACUUUCUUUCUGGCACGUUGACUUCCACGCUGGCCUUGUUCAUUAAGCAGGGCGGGGCCCCCCUGGAUCACCCCCACCCCCCCCCACCCGGGACGGAGUCAGACGCUGUCACAGACUCCUUUACGUACUUUGUUGACUUUCUGGUGGAAAAAAAAAGAAAGAGACUUCUUCACUCACUUUGUGGGGGGAAAAAAAGUCCAGCUUGUUUUGAGACCAAAGCGUGUUCAAACUGUGAUGUAUGACAUGAAUCUCUGGGUAUGUUUGCGAGAACUCACUGAAAAAUGUUGGAUGCACUAAAAUGUUUUUCUAAGACUGUUUUUUUUUUUUUUUUUAAACAUGUUUAAACAAGAUUGUUCAUGUUUAUGUCACAAAAUGAAAAGAAAGACUGACAAAAUAAAGUCUUUUGGAAAUGUC